ACACUCACACUCACACAACUGCUGUUACUCGGGGCGGCAAAGAAGACGACCAGGCCACAGCCUGCUUGUGUUGUGUGUGAGUGUGUAUUUGUUAGUGAGCGAGUUAGUGAGUGACUUUCAAAAUCGCUCACCAGAGAGAUGUGAGCG
ensembl:ncRNA T24B8.21 ncRNA